rfam:Pseudomonas knackmussii B13 complete genome
UGCGUAUUUUGCCCAGGCGGAGCUCGACCGCCGUAUGAAGUCCUGAAGGCGUUUUUCGAUCACUAUCGUGUCCGUCUCGAGGGCGAGUCGAUCUGUCGUGUCCGGCGUGAUGAGCUGCU